GGGAAUGUGGCUUAGUGGUAGAGUGCUUGCCUUGCAUGCAUGAAGCCUUGGGUUCUAUUCCUCGUACCA
rnacentral:tRNA from 1 species